AUAAAUUACUGAAAAGGUCAUUGAAGAAGAAAUUCUGAAAAUCACAGGAAACCAGUAGCCCAUUUUUAAGAUAUUUAUAUAUUACUGUUGUAUUAAAGGCAGACAACUUUUCAGGAGGAGUUUAGGUGGUGAGGUUUCUGAAGAAUUAUCCCUGAAACUGCCACCAAAUGUGGUAGAAGAAUCUGCCCGCGCUUCUGUCUCAGUUUUGGGAGACAUAUUAGGCUCUGCCAUGCAAAACACACAAAAUCUUCUCCAGAUGCCCUAUGGCUGUGGAGAGCAGAAUAUGGUCCUCUUUGCUCCUAACAUCUAUGUUCUGGAUUAUCUAAAUGAAACACAGCAGCUUACUCCAGAGAUCAAGUCCAAGGCCAUUGGCUAUCUCAACACUGGUUACCAGAGACAGUUGAACUACAAACACUAUGACGGCUCCUACAGCACCUUUGGGGAGCGAUAUGGCAGGAACCAGGGCAACACCUGGCUCACAGCAUUUGUUCUGAAGACUUUUGCCCAAGCUCGAGCCUACAUCUUCAUCGACGAAGCACACAUUACCCAAGCCCUCAUAUGGC
rnacentral:sRNA from 1 species